GAUGAACGCNGGCGGCGUGCNAACACAUGCAAGUCGAGCGGUAUAUAUCUAAACAAAACUUCGGUCUAGUGAGGGUAUAGAGAGCGGCGGACGGGUGAGUAACGCGUAGGCAACCUGCCCCAUACAGAGGGAUAGCCUCGGGAAACCGGGAUUAAAACCUCAUAACGCGAAGAGUUCACAUGGACUUUUCGCCAAAGAUUUAUCGGUAUGGGAUGGGCCUGCGUCUGAUUAGCUAGUUGGUGGGGUAACGGCCUACCAAGGCGACGAUCAGUAGCCGACCUGAGAGGGUAAUCGGCCACAUUGGAACUGAGACACGGUCCAAACUCCUACGGGAGGCAGCAGUGGGGAAUAUUGCACAAUGGGCGAAAGCCUGAUGCAGCAACGCCGCGUGAGCGAUGAAGGCCUUUGGGUCGUAAAGCUCUGUCCUUGGGGAAGAAAAAAAUGACGGUACCCUUGGAGGAAGCCCCGGCUAACUACGUGCCAGCAGCCGCGGUAAUACGUAGGGGGCAAGCGUUAUCCGGAAUUAUUGGGCGUAAAGAGUGCGUAGGUGGUUUUGUAAGCGCGGGGUGAAAGGCUAUGGCUCAACCAUAGUAAGCCUUGCGAACUGCAAGACUUGAGUGCAGGAGAGGAAAGUGGAAUUCCUAGUGUAGCGGUGAAAUGCGUAGAUAUUAGGAGGAACACCAGUGGCGAAGGCGACUUUCUGGACUGUAACUGACACUGAGGCACGAAAGCGUGGGGAGCAAACAGGAUUAGAUACCCUGGUAGUCCACGCCGUAAACGAUGAGCACUAGGUGUCGGGGUCGCAAGGCUUCGGUGCCGCAGUUAACGCAUUAAGUG
rnacentral:rRNA from 1 species